rnacentral:rRNA from 1 species
UACGGAGGGUGCAAACGUUGCUCGGAAUCAUUGGGCGUAAAGCGCACGUAGGCGGUUCGGUAAGUCGGAUGUGAAAUCCCUCGGCUUAACCGAGGAAGUGCAUCCGAAACUGCCGAGCUUGAGUACGGAAGAGGGUCUCGGAAUUCCCGGUGUAGAGGUGAAAUUCGAUAGAUAUCGGGAGGGAACACCAGUGGCGAAGGCGGAGACCUGGGCCGAUACUGACGCUGAGGUGCGAAAGCGUGGGGAGCAAACAGG